rnacentral:miRNA from 1 species
UCUUCCCCAUGGAUGUGGAAGGAGUUAUCUGUCUCCAGUCAGAUAACUGUCACUAGUCAGUUAACUUCCACACCCAUGGGGGAGA